rnacentral:rRNA from 1 species
CCUACGGGGCGCAGCAGUGGGGAAUAUUGGACAAUGGGGGGAACCCUGAUCCAGCGACGCCGCGCGAGUGAAGAAGUAUUUCGGUAUGUAAAGCUCUAUCAGCAGGGAAGAAAAUGACGGUACCUGACUAAGAAGCCCCGGCUAACUACGUGCCAGCAGCCGCGGUAAUACGUAGGGGGCAAGCGUUAUCCGGAUUUACUGGGUGUAAAGGGAGCGUAGACGGUGCAGCAAGUCUGAUGUGAAAUGCCGGGGCUUAACCCCGGAACUGCUUUGGAAACUGUGCAGCUAGAGUGCAGGAGAGGUAAGUGGAAUUCCUAGUGUAGCGGUGAAAUGCGUAGAUAUUAGGAGGAACACCAGUGGCGAAGGCGGCUUACUGGACUGUAACUGACGUUGAGGCUCGAAAGCGUGGGGAGCAAACAGGAUUAGAUACCCCAGUAGUC